GGAUGCGAUCAUACCAGCACUAAAGCACCGGAUCCCAUCAGAACUCCGAAGUUAAGUGUGCUUGGGCGAGAGUAGUACUAGGAGGUCUUAAGUGUGCUUGGGCGAGAGUAGUAC
rnacentral:rRNA from 15 species